rnacentral:rRNA from 1 species
GAUGAACGCUGGCGGCGUGCUUAACACAUGCAAGUCGAACGGUGAAGCGCCUUCCUUUCUGGUGGGUGUUGAUGAGCGGCGGACUGAUGAAUAACACGUUAGCCACCUGCCCCGUCUUUCUUGACAACCGCAUGAAAGAGCGGCUAACACGGGAUAUUCUGGAUCUGUCGCAUCAUUGGUCUGGGAAGGAUUUUGUUUCAGUUUGGGAUGGACCCGCGGCGCAUUAGCUAGUUGGUAGGGUGAUGGCGUACCAAGGCUGCGAUGCGUAGCCGACCUGAGAGGGUGAUCGACCGCACUGGGACGGAGACAAGGCCCAGACGCCUACGGGAGGCAGCAGUAGGGAAGAUUCGGGAACGGGGGGAAGCAUGAUGGAGCAACGCCGCGGGGGGGAUGAAGGAGUUCGGAUGGUAAAGAACUGCUAUCGGGAAUGAACAAAUGUGUACGUAUCUAUGGGUGGGUUGACGGUACCUGGAUAAAAAGCGACGGCUAACUACGUG